AGAGUUUGAUCCUGGCUCAGAUUGAACGCUGGCGGCAUGCCUUACACAUGCAAGUCGAACGGCAGCACGGGUGCUUGCACCUGGUGGCGAGUGGCGAACGGGUGAGUAGUGCAUCGGAACGUACCCAGUAGUGGGGGAUAACUACCCGAAAGGGUGGCUAAUACCGCAUAUACUGUGCGCAGGAAAGCAGGGGACCGUAAGGCCUUGUGCUACUGGAGCGGCCGAUGUCAGAUUAGCUAGUUGGUGGGGUAAAGGCCUACCAAGGCGACGAUCUGUAGCGGGUCUGAGAGGAUGAUCCGCCACACUGGGACUGAGACACGGCCCAGACUCCUACGGGAGGCAGCAGUGGGGAAUUUUGGACAAUGGGGGCAACCCUGAUCCAGCCAUGCCGCGUGAGUGAAGAAGGCCUUCGGGUUGUAAAGCUCUUUCGGACGGAAAGAAAACGGAUGGGUUAAUACCCUGUUCGGAUGACGGUACCGUCAUAAGAAGCACCGGCUAACUACGUGCCAGCAGCCGCGGUAAUACGUAGGGUGCGAGCGUUAAUCGGAAUUACUGGGCGUAAAGCGUGCGCAGGCGGUUGAUUAAGACAGGCGUGAAAUCCCCGGGCUUAACCUGGGAACUGCGCUUGUGACUGGUCGGCUAGAGUACGGCAGAGGGGGGUGGAAUUCCACGUGUAGCAGUGAAAUGCGUAGAGAUGUGGAGGAACACCGAUGGCGAAGGCAGCCCCCUGGGCCGAUACUGACGCUCAUGCACGAAAGCGUGGGUAGCAAACAGGAUUAGAUACCCUGGUAGUCCACGCCCUAAACGAUGUCAACUAGUUGUU
rnacentral:rRNA from 1 species